UCCAGACUCCUACGGGAGGCAGCAGUGGGGAAUAUUGCACAAUGGGGGAAACCCUGAUGCAGCAACGCCGCGUGAGUGAGGAAGUAUUUCGGUAUGUAAAGCUCUAUCAGCAGGGAAUAGAAAAGAAGGUACCUGAAAAAGAAGCCCCGGCUAACUACGUGCCAGCAGCCGCGGUAAUACGUAGGGGGCAAGCGUUAUCCGGAUUUACUGGGUGUAAAGGGCGUGUAGCCGGGUUGACAAGUCAGAUGUGAAAUCCUGCGGCUUAACCGCAGAACUGCAUUUGAAACUGUUGAUCUUGAGUACUGGAGAGGCAGACGGAAUUCCUAGUGUAGCGGUGAAAUGCGUAGAUAUUAGGAGGAACACCAGUGGCGAAGGCGGUCUGCUGGACAGCAACUGACGGUGAGGCGCGAAAGCGUGGGGAGCAAACAGGAUUAGAUACCCCCGUACC
rnacentral:rRNA from 1 species